UACGGAGGGAGCUAGCGUUGUUCGGAAUUACUGGGCGUAAAGCGCGCGUAGGCGGCUUUGUAAGUUAGAGGUGAAAGCCCGGGGCUCAACCCCGGAACUGCCUUUAAGACUGCAUCGCUUGAAUCCGGGAGAGGUGAGUGGAAUUCCGAGUGUAGAGGUGAAAUUCGUAGAUAUUCGGAAGAACACCAGUGGCGAAGGCGGCUCACUGGACCAGUAUUGACGCUGAUGUGCGAAAGCGUGGGGAGCAAACAGG
rnacentral:rRNA from 1 species